rnacentral:rRNA from 1 species
CAGUAGCCGCGGGAAUACGAGGGGGGCAAGCGUUGUUCGGAAUUAUUGGGCGUAAAGGGCGCGUAGGCGGUUUGGCAAGUUUGGUGUGAAAUCUUCGGGCUCAACUCGAAGUCUGCAUCGAAAACUGCCGGGCUUGAGUAUGGGAGAGGUGAGUGGAAUUUCCGGUGUAGCGGUGAAAUGCGUAGAUAUCGGAAGGAACACCUGUGGCGAAAGCGGCUCACUGGACCAUUACUGACGCUGAGGCGCGAAAGCUAGGGGAGAAAACAGGAUUAGAUACCCCCGUAGUCCCUGUCUCUUAUAA